rnacentral:rRNA from 1 species
GUCCGUGGCCAUACCACCCUGGAUGCACCUGAUCUUGUCUGAUUUUGGAAGCUAAGCAGCGCCUGUGAGUACUUGGAUGGGAGAGGUGUUUGGUGAGGAGGACGGGGUGGAAG